GGGCUCUGCCUGCCAUCUCUUACCCAUGUCUUUUGAGUACCUUCGUUUCCUCGGCGGGUCCGCCCGCCGGUUGGACAACACUUAAACCCUUUGUAGUUGCAAUCAGCGUCUGAAUAAACUUAAUAGUUACAACUUUCAACAACGGAUCUCUUGGUUCUGGCAUCGAUGAAGAACGCAGCGAAAUGCGAUAAGUAGUGUGAAUUGCAGAAUUCAGUGAAUCAUCGAAUCUUUGAACGCACAUUGCGCCCCUUGGUAUUCCAUGGGGCAUGCCUGUUCGAGCGUCAUUUGUACCUUCAAGCCUUGCUUGGUGUUGGGUGUUUGUCUCGCCUCUGCGCGCAGACUCGCCUCAAAACAAUUGGCAGCCGGCGUAUUGAUUUCGGAGCGCAGUACAUCUCGCGCUUUGCACUCAUAACGACGACGUCCAAAAAGUACAUUUUUACACUCUUGACCUCGGAUCAGGUAGGGAUACCCGCUGAACUUAAGCAUAUCA
rnacentral:rRNA from 1 species